rnacentral:rRNA from 1 species
UUUGAACGCUGGCGGCAGGCCUAACACAUGCAAGUCGCGCGAGCGGCGGACGGGCGAGUAAUGUAUGGGGACUGCUCGAUAGAGGGGGAUAACUACUGGAAACGGUGGUUAAUACCGCAUACUAUCGGAUAACCCAUAUGGGAUUAGCUAGUGGGUGGGGUAAAGGCUCACCUAGGUGACGAUCUCUAGCUGUUCUGAGAGGAUGAUCAGCCACACUGGGACUGAGACACGGCCCGGACUCUUACGGAGGCAGCAGUGGGAAAUAUUGCACGAUGGGCGCAAGCCUGAUGCAACCAUGCCGCGUGUAUGAAGAAGGCCUUAGGGUUGUAAAGAGCUUUCAGCGGGGAGGCGUUACCCGCAGGAGGUGCCCCGGCUAACUCCGUGCCAGCAGCCGCGGUAAUAC